GACGAACGCUGGCGGCGUGCUUAACACAUGCAAGUCGAACGGAAAGGCCCUGCUUGCAGGGUACUCGAGUGGCGAACGGGUGAGUAACACGUGGGUGAUCUGCCCUGCACUUCGGGAUAAGCCUGGGAAACUGGGUCUAGUACCGGAUAGGAGCAAUUUUAAGUGUGAUGGUUGGAAAGUUUUUUCGGUGUAGGAUGAGCUCGCGGCCUAUCGGCUUGUUGGUGGGGUAAUGGCCUACCAAGGCGGCGACGGGUAGCCGGCCUGAGAGGGUGGACGGCCACAUUGGGACUGGGCUACGGCCCAGACUCCUACGGGGGGCAGCAGUGGGGAAUAUUGCACAAUGGGCGCAAGCCUGAUGCAGCGACGCCGCGUGGGGGAUGACGGCCUUCGGGUUGUAAACUCCUUUCGCUAGGGACGAAGCUUUUUGUGACGGUACCUAGAUAAGAAGCACCGGCUAACUACGUG
rnacentral:rRNA from 1 species